AUCUAAUUCAAGAACAAGGAAGAGCAAUCCUACAUUGUGCCUGUGAGGUAGGAAACCAGAAAUAGUCAGUGAACAUGUGAAUGACUGUUCACUUCCCCACUCCAGGGCCUGCGACCUUGCUGUUCUCUCAUCUUGGUAUGAUGUUCCUUCACCUCUGCACAGAGCUGGCUCCUUUUCAUCCUUUGGUUCUAGAAUUUCCCUUAGAGAACUUCUGUGACUAAUAGCAUUCUUCAAGUGGGAGAGAGCUAAUAAAGAUAGCUGUAACCGACCUGUAUGGUGACUGGAAUAAUAUUCAACAGGGUAACCAGCCUGAAGGUAUCAGGGCUUCGUCUGGGAUCCCAUUCUCCUCCGGGAUCCCCUCUCAUGAGGAGACACGUUCCGCUGCCUCACUGUGGCAGCCUUGGGGGUAAGGAAUUGAGACCCACCGAGUUUGACAAAUAAACCCGGACUCUCAGCAAUGCAGGAUGAAAAGGCCUACAGAUACCACAAUGACCAGGUAACUUUGUGCAUAAACCAAGGACUCAAGGUCUUCUAGCACAGACUCCACCCCUCGAAUUUCCAGUUCACCAGCGCCAACCUGGAGAUUACGUCCUUGUCAAAAGCUGGAAAGAGGGAAUGCUUGAGCCCUCCUGGGAAGGACCUUACCUGGUGCUCCUCACAACUGAGACUGCAGUCCAAACUGCUGAAAAGGGGUGGACGCAUCAUAUGCGAGUCAAAAAGGCAUCGCCCUCUCCAAAGCCAUGGACCAUUGUCCCAGGGCCAACUCCCACCAGAGUAAUGUUAAAAAGAAAAUAUUAAUCUGUUUCUUCCUCCUUUUCCUCUUCUCCCCAGCUGUCUCACAUCUUAUUCCAAAGCCAAAGAAAGCUAGCCUCUUCAGAAAAGUACUCCCGCACCAAAUGAGCACAGGGCAGUCAUUGGAAGUUCUGUUUUGGUUGGGGAGAUGUGGUCUGAACAAUCAAGUAUCAAGGCUGGACCUCCCCAGGAGGAGGUUGCACUAACCUAAACCCUUACAUCCACUUUACAAAAAAGACAACUCCCUCUAAUUGUCAACUCCAACAAUGUAACCCUGUGCAAAUCUCUAUUACUGUCACCACCUCUACCAACACUAACCCCACUGUAGGUUGCUUCUAUGGCAUAGGAGCUGAUGUUCCUGGAAUAGACCCUAUAGGAUCCUUUGAAAUGCACUUCAUUACUCCUCCACCCUCUUCCCUUCCUCCACCUUCUAAACCUUAUUCCAAUCAAACAGCUGUUCUUUACAUACCCAACGACGAAACUAUAGUAAACAUUGUAGAAGUUAAGGAUUUAAAAGAAACCCUAGCCAUAGAAACUGGGUAUCAAGAUGUAAAUGCCUGGCUGGAAUAGAUUAAAUAUUCUGUUCACACCCUAAAUAAGAGUUAUUGUUACGCUUGUGCCACAGGCAGGCCAGAAACCCAAAUUGUUCGCUUUCCACUUGGAUGGUUCUCCAACCAACAGAGUAUGAGUUGUAUGGUAGCUCUCUUCCAAGACCCUGCAGCUUGGGGCAGUAAGGCAUGCUGAACUCUCUCGCUGCUAUUCUUGGAAGUUUAAGGCCCUGUAGGUCAGCCCCCAAGGGCCUUCCGGCCUCUGGUUAGCAAUGUCAGUUUUACCUUGUGUCUCUCAUGACAAAGGGAAAAUUUAGCAUUCCUUGGAAGCCUAAUGGGAUGCAGUGAGUCCAAGCCUUUUCAGGAGCUAACCAAUCUGUCUGCCCUUGUUCAUCCCCUGGCGGAUGUAUGGUGGUAUUGCGGUGGACCACUGUUGGGUACUCUGCCAAGUAACUGGAGCGGCACUUGCACUGUAGUCCAAUUGGCCAUUCCUUUUACGCUGGCAUUUCAUCAACCAAACAAACAGAAAGGAAAAUUGCAAAAAAUGGAAGGUGCCCCUCAUGGGUCUUUUGAACCUGGCAUUUAUAUAGGUGCCAUCGGAGUUCCAUGAGGGGUACCAAAUGAAUUUAAAGCUCGAAAUCAAGUAGCUGCAGGAUUUGAAUCUGCAUUAUUCUGGUGGUCUACUAUAAACAAAAAUGUAAAUUGGAUAAAUUACAUUUACUAUAAUUGACAGCAAUUUGUCAAUUACAUAAGAGAUGCCAUUAAAGGAAUAGCUGAACAAUUAGGCCCUACCAGCCAAAUGGCCUGGGAAAAUAGAAGAGCCCUUGACAUGAUAUUAGCUGAAAAAGGUACAGUAUAUGUCAUAAUUAGGACCCAAUGCUGUACUUUCAUCCAUAAUAACACCACCCCCUAUGGAACCAUAACAAAGGCUCUACAAAGUCUUACUAUCUUAGCCAAUGAGUUAGGUAAGGUAUUCUGAAAAUUACAGAAUAAACAACCUCUUCACUAAUUUAAUGGGAAAAUGGCUUGGCAAAUGAAAGGGACUCACUCAUGACCUCAGUCCUCACCUCCCUUACAACUGUAAUAGCUGUACUUAUUCUUGUAGGGUGCUGCAUUAUACCCUGUGUCUGCGGAUUGGUGCAAAAACUUAUUGAAACAGCUCUCACUAAAACCUUCUCCAAUUCUCCCCCACCAUAUUUAGAUAAGCUGUUACUCUUAGAAAAUCAAGAAGAACAACAAAGCCAAAAUAUGUUAGACAAAUUUGAAAAGGAAGAAUUAUAAAAAUCAAAGGUGGGGGAAAUUGCAAGGUACAGUGAGUUCCUCUUCAAAGGUUUAGCUUGUUCAACUUCUUUGUUCUUUGUUCCUAAAAACAACUCCCUUGUACCUCCUUGCCCCUAGUUACCUGCUUAGUUAACUGCUUUGUAAACAACUCUUCCCGCCAGCCUCGACCUGUAACUUAUAUCCCCCUUCCCUUUCUUAUUUGGGAAAAUAUUCACAAACAGCCAAUCGGGUCAGCUUAGAUUGUGUGGUCUGACCCCAGCCCAUGUGGGGAGUGACACAGAGGUAGGGACUGCAUUAGGGAUAAAAACUCCUCUCUUUUCUUUGGGGUGCUCUAGGAGUAGCCAAAACUAUGAGCAGCACCCUUCUGCAGAAGUACAUUUUGCCUUGCUGAGAAGUUCUCUGUUUGAGUGCUCGUUCUCUUGGCGACUCUGACCUUUUAUUUCCAAUAUUAAUAUGGUUAGCAUUAAUGUGUGUGAUUAAAACUACACACAUUAAUGUAAAACUACUACAUUAAUGUGUGUGAUUAAAACUACUAAAACUACAUUAAUGUGUGUGAUUAAAACUACUAAAUAAGAUAAAUAAUUUCAUCUGCAAAGGGUACAAGAAAAACAAGAUAUAUUUUUGGGAAGAAAGAUUAUAAAGAAGAUAUAAAAAUGUGAUUUUUGUUAAAAGAAAAAAAUUUCCCAUUUUAGAGAUG
rnacentral:lncRNA from 1 species